UUUCUUUAUCGCAUGUUAUUUUCUCCUUCAUAACUACAAUAUCAUUUUGUUUCAUAAUUUUUUUACAAAUUUGACCUUUUCAAUUGUGAUUUUGUAUUCAACUUAUAUGCUCUGUAUUUUAUCCUUUUUUUUCCAGGGGAAAGCCUUGGUAUGAACCUGAUUGGUGGAAAUUUGGGGAUGAAAAAUCGUAUUUCCGACAUGCAUCUGGUUCACUUGUUAUACUUUCAAAGAAUUUGGCACAGUACAUUAACAUAAACAGUGUAUCUUUGAAGACAU